rnacentral:rRNA from 1 species
CCUACGGGAGGCAGCAGUAGGGAAUAUUGCUCAAUGGGGGAAACCCUGAAGCAGCAACGCCGCGUGGAGGAUGAAGGUCUUCGGCUUGUAAACUCCUUUUGUUAGAGAAGAAAAUGACGGUAUCUAACGAAUAAGCACCGGCUAACUCCGUGCCAGCAGCCGCGGUAAUACGGAGGGGGCAAGCGUUACUCGGAAUAACUGGGCGUAAAGAGCGCGUAGGCGGGAUAGCAAGUCAGAUGUGAAAUCCUAUGGCUUAACCAUAGAACUGCAUUUGAAACUGUUAGUCUGGAGUAUGGGAGAGGUAGGUGGAAUUCGUGGUGUAGCGGUGAAAUCCGUAGAGAUCAAGAGGAAUACUGAUGGCGAAGGCGGCCUGCUAGAACGUAACUGACGCUGAUGCGCGAAAGCGUGGGGAGCAAACAGGAUUAGAUACCCGGGUAGUC